rnacentral:rRNA from 1 species
UACGGGGGGGGCAAGCGUUGUUCGGAGUUACUGGGCGUAAAGGGCUCGUAGGCGGCCAACUAAGUCGGAUGUGAAAUCCCCAGGCUCAACCUGGGAACUGCAUCCGAUACUGGAUGGCUUGAAUCCGGGAGAGGGAUGCAGAAUUCCAGGUGUAGCGGUGAAAUGCGUAGAUAUCUGGAGGAAUACCGGUGGCGAAGGCGGCAUCCUGGACCGGCAUUGACGCUGAGGAGCGAAAGCUAGGGGAGCAAACGGG